CAGUAGCCACGGUAAUACGAAGGGUGCAAGCGUUAAUCGGAAUUACUGGGCGUAAAGCGUGCGUAGGCGGUUUGUUAAGUCUGUUGUGAAAUCCCCGGGCUCAACCUGGGAAUGGCAAUGGAUACUGGCAAGCUAGAGUGUGUCAGAGGAUGGUGGAAUUCCCGGUGUAGCGGUGAAAUGCGUAGAGAUCGGGAGGAACAUCAGUGGCGAAGGCGGCCAUCUGGGCCAAUACUGACGCUCAUGCACGAAAGCGUGGGGAGCAAACAGGAUUAGAUACCCCUGUAGUCCCUGUCUCUUAUAC
rnacentral:rRNA from 1 species